rnacentral:lncRNA from 1 species
AUGGGGGUGCCCUCCCAAGCACUCACAUGGCAUGAUGCUAUCAUGCUUUGUAGUAAGAUACUGUACUUUCCCCAGGAACCAGCCUACAACAGACUGUGGGCUGCAGACCCCUUGGGAGAGAGAAAAAGACCUCAUCUCCACAUGGGUUAUCUAUGUGGACAGUCAUCAUUAUCCAUCACGGUGCUGAAGUGCAACAUAAGAUUUUGGUAUUCCCGAGCAAGGAUCAUCUUUCAGCUUUUACCUGUGUGCCUCAGGCAGGACUUCUGCAGGGCUAUGCCAGAGACACAGCAGAAGACAUCUCCUGUGAAAAAAAGAAAACGAAAAGAAUGGGAAAAAAUAAUCGCUGCUGUUAUGAGAUGUACUUAGAGAGAUUGAUGGAGUCUUCAGCAAUUAUGGCUGCGCUAUGAAGAAUGCCACAGAUAAUGCUAUCGAUGGCUUAUUUACACAAUUACAAAUUGGAGAACACAAGACAGCCCAUGAAUGAAGUGCUACUGGGUUUGAAUAGGUACUUGAUUGCCCUGUGCACGCCAGGAGCUGGCUGCAGCCUGCCAGUCCUCUGGUCCCCGCCGGGAAGCUGCAGGUGAGAGCCGGAGGGCCUGCCAGCAUCACCCCGGCUUCCUUCCCCUCUGCCUGCAGCCAGGAGGUGUUUUGGGCAUGAUGCUGGAUGACGCAUGCUGUGUAUUGGUGUGGAGACUGCGUUAGGAGCAAAAUAAAAAUAAAAAUUAAAAAAAAAAAAAAACUGUG